AUUGAACGCUGGCGGCAGGCCUAACACAUGCAAGUCGAACGAGUGGCGGACGGGUGAGUAAUGUAUGUGAAACUGCCCGAUGGAGGGGGCUAACUACUGGAAACGGUAGCUAAUACCGCAUACCAUCGGAUGUGCCCAGAUGGGAUUAGCUAGUAGGUGGGGUAAAGGCUCAACUAGGCGACGAUCCCUAGCUGGUCUGAGAGGAUGACCAGCCACACGGGAACGGAGACACGUUCCAGACUCCGAAGGGAGGCAGCAGGGGGGAAUAUGGCACAAUGGGCGCAAGCCUGAUGCAGCCAUGCCGCGUGUAUGAAUAAGGCCUUCGGGUUGUAAAGUACUUUCAGCGAGGAGGCGUGACUCGCAGAAGAAGCACCGGCUAACUCCGUGCCAGCCGCCGCGGUAAUUC
rnacentral:rRNA from 1 species